rnacentral:rRNA from 1 species
UCCAGACUCCUACGGGAGGCAGCAGUAGGGAAUCUUUCACAAUGGGCGAAAGCCUGAUGGAGCAACGCCGCGUGCAGGAUGAAGGCCUUCGGGUUGUAAACUGCUUUUAUAAGCGAGAAAUAUGAUGGUAACUUAUGAAUAAGGAUCGGCUAACUACGUGCCAGCAGCCGCGGUAAUACGUAGGGAGCGAGCGUUGUCCGGAAUUACUGGGUGUAAAGGGAGCGUAGGCGGGACGGCAAGUCAGAUGUGAAAACUGAGGGCUCAACCUUCAGACUGCAUUUGAAACUGCUGUUCUUGAGUGAAGUAGAGGUAAGCGGAAUUCCUAGUGUAGCGGUGAAAUGCGUAGAUAUUAGGAGGAACAUCGGUGGCGAAGGCGCCUUACUGGGCUUUUACUGACGCUGAGGCUCGAAAGCGUGGGGAGCAAACAGGAUUAGAUACCCUAGUAA